rnacentral:misc_RNA from 1 species
UACCCUUUGUAUUUGAGUGAUUCUGUUGAUGGUCUGGACAGACUGGUUGGCAUUGAAGAUGAUGAAGUUGCUGGGAAUGCUGAAACAACCACAGAAACUCGCCCAGGAUCACAGUUGCCUGCAUUUUCUGGUGCAUUCACUUCUUCUCAGGUGAGGGAUGUAUUUGAGACGGAAAUGGAACAGGACAACAGUUCUGAUAGAGAUGGGACGAGCACUAUAUUUGAAGAAACUGAAAGUAUUUCAGUUGGUGAAGUAAUGAAAAGCCCGGUCUUUAGUGAAGAUGAAUCAUCAGACAACUCAUUCUGGAUUGAUUUGGGUCAAAGUCCAUUGGGGUCAGAUACCGCAGGUCAGUUUAACAAACAGAAAAUGUCCUCUCCUCUACCACCUUUCUGGUUUUCUGGCAAGAAGAACCACAAGCGACUCUCUCCAAAACCAACAUCAAAGAUAUAUGGCAGCCCAAUGUAUGAUGACAAGGGGGGGCCACACGAUGACNNNNNNNNUCAUUUGAUGCUGCAGUUAUGUCUGUUUCACAGGAAUUAGACCGUGUUAAAGAGGUCCCUGAAGAAGAACAAUUUGCAGAAACAAACUGCACUCCGCGAAAUGGUAGAAAGGGUUUUGAUCAUCCACAUGUUCAAGAGAUUGAGGAAGAACCUGGAACAAGCAAUGCACUUUCAGCUGGUUCUUUGUCAAAUUAUGAUGUAAAUGGAUCUCGGCUUAAUAAUUCAACAUUGACUGCUGCGCAUCAUAGCCUAGCAAAUGGCUCAACCUCAGCAAUUGGCUCAGAGAUGAAAGAGAGUGCUAUAAGAAGAGAAACAGAAGGUGAAUUCAGGUUGUUGGGAAGAAGGGAAGGGAAUAGAUACGCUGGUGGUAGAUUUUUUGGGUUGGAAGAGAAUGAACAUCCGAGCAGGGGAAGAAGGGUGUCGUUUAGUAUGGAGGACAACCGUAAAGAACGUAUGACUCAUACUCUGGAGCCAGGAGAAGUAUCUGUAACGAGCCUGGAUGAUGAAGAGUACACCAGUGAUGGGGAAUAUGGAGAUGGACAAGAGUGGGAUAGGAGGGAACCUGAGAUUAUUUGCCGGCAUUUGGAUCAUGUGAAUAUGUUGGGUCUCAAUAAAACCACAAUCAGGCUGAGAUUUUUGAUCAAUUGGCUUGUGACCUCAUUACUUCAACUAAGGUUUCCCAGCCCAGAUGGGGAAGGAAGAGUGCUUCUUGUUCACAUCUAUGGCCCAAAAAUAAAAUAUGAAAGGGGCGCAGCUGUAGCUUUCAACAUUAGAGAUAGAAACCAUGGGCUGAUAAAUCCAGAAGUUGUUCAGAAGCUUGCAGAAAGAGAAGGUAUCUCUCUUGGCAUUGG